rnacentral:rRNA from 1 species
AAUACAUCGGAACGUGCCUAGUAGUGGGGGAUAACAACUCGAAAGAGUGGCUAAUACCGCAUGAGAUCUACGGAUGAAAGCAGGGGAUCGCAAGACCUUGUGCUACUAGAGCGGCCGAUGGCAGAUUAGGUAGUUGGUGGGAUAAAAGCUUACCAAGCCGACGAUCUGUAGCUGGUCUGAGAGGACGAUCAGCCACACUGGGACUGAGACACGGCCCAGACUCCUACGGGAGGCAGCAGUGGGGAAUUUUGGACAAUGGGCGCAAGCCUGAUCCAGCAAUGCCGCGUGCAGGAUGAAGGCCUUCGGGUUGUAAACUGCUUUUGUACGGAACGAAAAGCCCUGGGUUAAUACCCUGGGGUCAUGACGGUACCGUAAGAAUAAGCACCGGCUAACUACGUGCCAGCAGCCGCGGUAAUACGUAGGGUGCGAGCGUUAAUCGGAAUUACUGGGCGUAAAGCGUGCGCAGGCGGUUUUGUAAGACAGAGGUGAAAUCCCCGGGCUCAACCUGGGAACUGCCUUUGUGACUGCAAGGCUAGAGUACGGCAGAGGGGGAUGGAAUUCCGCGUGUAGCAGUGAAAUGCGUAGAUAUGCGGAGG